CUUACCAUUUACACAUCAACUUUCUGAGACACAAGUGCUUCUCCUUGAAUGACCCCUUCUCCUCUCAUGCUUACUUGGCUAAUAUUUAUCAGCAACAUCUGGGGUUUAGCACAAUGAAGUUAUUUACAGCAGUGCUUAUUAGUGCACUUCUGUGAGUCACAGGUGUUUCUAGCCAACUCUGCCAUUUUGUUGAGGAUGGCACCCUGUGGAACCCCAAGAUUUGCAGCCAUUUAUCAGGAAGCAGAGGCUUGUGUGCAUUGGUCAAAACUCACAGAUAAUAGAGGGAAAAGAAAUGGUUACUGUUGAAAUGGACAUUAGAAAUCAUCUAAUCCAACCUGUUCAUUUUACUUCUGAGAAUAUUGACAGGCAAAGAAAUGAGUUGACUUGCAGUAGCCUGCCGGAAGUGAAUUAUAGAGAUGCAAGUAGAAAUUGGAAUUUUUCCUUCUCAGUCCACUAUGGCUUUUGUUUCUUGGGACUUUAUUCAGUACUUUAAGCAGGAUAUUUAUGAGGGAAAUGCUUUGUUUGUAGAUUAUUUCUUAAGUAUUUUUUUCACUCAGGGAAGAAGAAUAUGAGAAAUCUCAAGUUGUGUCUGGUUAGUUAUUUUCAGUGUUCUGAGAGUUUCCCAACCUUCCUCCUGGAGUCCUCUUUAGAGCCAUCACAAGGUUAGGGCAGAACAGGCCUUUAGCUUUAUAUUCUGGGUAUGGAUGGCUCCUGCUGACAAUGGAAUGAGAAGGGGACUGGCAUCUCUGACUGCUGUCGAAAGUGAUUCCCAGGGUCAUGCAUAUUUUUCUACUCAUUCUUUUAAAAAGUAUAUGUGAUAUUUGAUCUAUAUAUAACAGCAAUGUAACAUAUGUUUGUGUGACUGGUAGUAAAAUUAACACUGGUGAACCCAUCACCAAAUUUAUGAAAUAGGCGGCUUGCUUUUAAAUUCAUCAUCUCUUGUGUUCAUUGGAUGUGACUGACUCUCUCAGUUAUAUCCUUUUCUUUUCUUGGUUUGCAUUUUGUCUAUCUAUAAAAUGUUGUUGCCUAAACAUAUGUACAAUGUCCUCUAUCUUUAAAAUAGCCACAGUUAAAAGCAACCUUUUGUUUCUGUUUUUCACUUCACUCCUCAAAUAUAGCGAUUUAUAAGACUGUCAGCAGCCUUUUUCUUAUGUUUCUAUCAUUCCCCUCCUUGGCAAUCUCCAUGAAGAUGACAGCUCCUUAUCUCCAGGCCUGACUUCUCUCCUGGGUCCUCCCAGUGGACAGGUCUACUUGAAUGUACUCCAUUUACAUCAAAGGGCAACAUCAAAAGGAGCAAAAGAAAUUUGCUUUCUCCUUUGGCCACCAUCCUAAUUUUAAAAACAUCCUUCCUUUUAAUCCUAAAUAAAUAUCUUCAGGGAAUAAUUUGUAUAUACUUCCAGUAUUUACUGCAUCGUGCAUGCUGUGAUUUGAUCUGUGGCUACACUGCUGGAACUGUAGUCCGUAAAGUCAACAAUAAGUUAUGUUUUUUCAUCAUCAUUCCCCUUUUUUGGUGCUCGUUCUUUGUCACUUUUCUGCAGAAUUUUACAUUGUGGAUCAAUUCCUGUUUUGUGUGUUUGUUUUUGGAAGUGCACUCCCUUCCUUCGUCUAUGAGAUGCUGCUGUAACCUGGUUUCCUGCCUAUCUCUCUGACUUUUCCCUCCUUUCUUUUUUUUAAUAACCUCUUUUACUUUUCUUUAUUUCUCAAACAGAGUGACUUCUGAGCCUUUCAGCACCCCUCUUCUGGUGUUUCUUACUAUUCCCCUCCUUGGCAGUCUUGAUGCCAGUGACAGCCGAUCCUUAUCUUCAGGCCCAACUUCUCUCCUGAGUCCUCCUCCUUCACUUUCAGCUGCCUGGUGGACAUUUCCACUUGGAUGUGCUACAAUUAUGUUAACGGGCAAAAUAAAAGAAACACAACAGAGGAAAGGUUAUAUCUCAUCUUCAGGAACUCAUAAGCCUUUGACACAAAAAUCAAGGAGGAAAAUCCAGUGUGUAUGGUAUUAGACGGCAGUCAAGCACAUUUCUCAUCCAUCUCGUCAUUCUCUGGGAAGGUCCUUUUUAAAAAUGCUGUACAUCUAAAUUAUUUGAUUAACAUUAUUUUUCUAAUUUUUUUCUUUUAUACUCAAUUACUGGAUGUUGGUUUCUAUAUUUGUGGACUGAAUAGAGAUUGAUUAUAUUUUAUAGCUUUCUGAACAAAAUUUAUUAAUCAGAUAAUUCCAUGAACCAUAAACUUUAACACACUAAUUACUUUUACCUCUAGUCAGGUUGAGAGUUGUAAUUUAACAUUUGGCUUCUUUUUUAUUGACGACGGUAGUUUUAAGACUGAUGUGAUUUGGCAGUGUCUGCAUCCAAAUCUCAUCUCGAAUUGUAGUUCCUAUAAUUCCCAUGUGUCAUAGGAGGGACCUGGUGGGAGGUAAUUGAAUCAUGGGGAUGGUUAUCUCCGUGCUGUUCUUGUGAUAGUGAAUGAUUUCUCACAAGAUCUGAUGGUUUUAUAAGGAAUCUUCCCCCACCUUCACCCUGUACUUUUCCUUGCUGCUGCCAUGUGAAGAAGGACAUGUUUUCUUCCCCUUCCACCAUGAUUGUAAGUUUCCUGAGGCCUCCCCAGCCAUGCUGAAUUGUGAGUCAAUUAAACCUCUUUCCUUUUUAAAUUACUCAGUCUCAGGUAUGUCUUUAUUAUUGCAUGAGAAUAUGAGAAUGGACAAAUAUAAAGAAAAUGAUAAAGGUUAAAGUUUUGUAUAUUUAUAAAUGCUUUUAAUUUCUAUUUUAAAUUAACUGUACAGAAGAUCAAUGCAGAUAAAAUUUAAAAUAUAGAGAUGUGUUUUUCUUAAAAAUUUGUUUUCACCAAAUAGAUUUAUUUGCUAUACAUUAUCAAAAGUUUCAAUUUUUGUAAUAUUGUGGUCAAAACAGCAUUAUUAAAUCAUUAAAUGUGUUCAUUUUU
rnacentral:lncRNA from 10 species